GGACUACCAGGGUAUCUAAUCCCGUUUGCUCCCCUGGCUUUCGCGCCUCAGCGUCAGAAGAGGUCCAGCAGCUCGCUUUCGCCACCGGCGUUCCUUCCGAUAUCAACGCAUUUCACCGCUCCACCGGAAGUUCCAGCUGCCCCUACCUCGCUCGAGAAUCCCAGUAUCCAGGGCCAUUUUCCGGUUGGGCCGAAAGAUUUCACCCCGGACUUGAGAUCCCGCCUACGCGCCCUUUAAGCCCAGUGAUUCCGAACAACGUUCGCACGGUUCGUCUUACCGCGGCUGCUGGCAC
rnacentral:rRNA from 1 species